UCCGGAGCGUCCUAGAGCGGAGCCGGAAGUGUCCUCGAAGGGAGAGAGGGGCGCGACGGCAGACUCAGUAGUCCGCGCCUCGCCCAGCCUCAGCUCAGGUGCCAUUGUUCUUUCCCGCCUCAGGGGAACUUGAGGUCCCAUUCAUUUGGUUGGUCCUCUGGGUCCAGUCUUUUGUACGGCAAAGACUCAUCUAAUAUAUCUCUUUGUGCAGUCAUAGUCCAUUACAUUGCUAUACCACAGUUUAUUCAACUGUUUCCCGGUCAUUGGACAUAUGACAGGACUGAAACUGAGAGCAUGGAGUCUGUUCCGAAGUGGGAAAUUUCUGAAGAAGUCCAAUCACAGGGCAUAUUAUCAUCAGGAUUCCCAAGGAACAUUCUCAUGGGUCCCAACUGUGGACAAGCCUCUGGCAGUGAUUGUAGGUUAGAGACACAGCCUAAAACACCACUGCGACACAGUCUUUCGUUAUCUUUCUCAGGAAAAAGAUUUCAGGCAUAUAACAUUUAGCAGAAGAGUGUCCUCACUGGGGAGAGAGGCUGUGUCUGUUAUCGAAUGUGAGACAAUUUUAAAACUCUUACGUAAGAGAGAUCCUGUAGAAGGGAGAGCCCAGGAAUAUGGUUUAUAUGGCCACAGCUUCAAGCAGAAUGCAGUUUUUAAGAUGACAGAGAGAAACUCUAUGAAACGAAUCUGGGGAGAAAAAAAACCAAACAACCUCCUACAAAAUUAAAUCAGAACUUAUUCAUCAUCAGGAAAUACAUAGGACAGAGAAACCUAUUGAGUGUAAUGAAUGUGAGAAAGGACCGACUCAAACCAUAUCUGAACCCCAGAAAAUUCAUACUAAAAAGAGACCUUAUGACUAUAAAGACUAGAAGAGUCUCCAGCAGGAGCUCAUCUGACAUUAAACAUCAGAGAAUCUACAGUGAAAUUAAAUCCUAGAAAUUUAAUGAGUGUGGAGAAACCUUUAGCAAUAGCGUUUUGAAUACCAGAGAAUUGAAUUGACAGUGGAGAGAAACCCUGUGAAGAUAAUGGAUGUGGGAAAGCCUUCUAUCAAUUCACACCUCAUUAGAUAUCAGAAUUUACAUGGAGCCCCGUGAAUGUAAAUAAUGUGGGAAGCUCUUCAAGUAGAGUUCAGCAUGCCUUGAUCAGAAAAUUCAAGCUAGAUUGACUUUCUGUGUAAUGAAUAUGGGAAAGCCUUCAUGGAGCACAUCUUGAUUGCACUUAAGAUAAGUCAUAUUUGAGAAAUAUCCUAUGAAUGGAAAGAAUGUUGGAAAAUCUUCAGGUAGAUCUUUGAUGCUAUUAAAUGUCAGAGUGGAAAUAAACCCUUAUGAAUGUAAACAGUAUGUUUAAGGCUUCAACUAGAGCUUGGACCUCAUUCAGCAUCAGAAAAUUCAAACCUGAUAUUUGAACCUUUGAAUGCAAUUAAUAUAGGAAUGAGACCUACAGUUUUGUUGCAUCUCAAAGUAUCCAGACUAGCGCUAGAUUUUAUAAAACUUUGAAAUUAAAGACCCUGAUAUUCCCAGGGUAAAAGACUAGAACCUACGAGUUUCUUUCUUGAAUCAACUGCUCUCCCUAAGCACUCUUACUACAGUGAGCCCUGUAGAAGCUGCCUUCCCUGCAUAUUAUCAAGUUGAUGACCUCGAACAUAUGAAACAACCCUUUCAAGCCUCUUGAAGAAGUCAUACCCCCGUCAGCUUAGCUUUUACCUGUUGACCACCUCUCUUUUUAGUCUGACCUGCCUUGUUCUUUUUCCCAACAACAACGAAAACUAAGCACCAGGUUUGGACCUGUGCUCCACCCACAUCCACAGAGGCUCCUAGCUCAAGCCAAGGAAUUUUGCCUCAACUAUUUGACAGGGUGGGGAAGGGUGUCACAAUGUUGGGAAAACUUUUGAUUCGGUAUCUUUGAUUAUCAACUUUGUGCUAUUGCUGUCUUGGGUUUGGUGUAGUGCCUAUCUAUGCGUGCCUUUUGGGAUGUUUGGGAAAUGGGCAAGUUUUAUAAGAUUGUUUAGACACCUGUUACCACAGUUUUCUGUUUCAUCUUGUGUUUUGACAAAGGUUUGUGCAGACUUUCCUUAAUGUAGAUCUAAGCCCUCACCUUUUACUAAGAAAAGAUACUUUAUUUUCUUGGGAUGUUUUCUUGAUGAUCAGAAACUAGAGGGCAAGGGAUCAAGGAAGGGAGGGGAGCUUUGGAUUUGGAAAGUUUACUGGCACUGGAAUGACAAUGUGGAUGUAUUUAAUGCUGGAAGUUCAGGACAAUCAGGGUUGAACCCCUGUGCCCUGUACAGGUGGGGCACACCAUAGUUUGAGAACCCUAGAUUGAGUUAGUAGCUAUACGAGCGAUAUAUAUCCAUAUAUACUUGUGUAUGUGGAUAUAUAUAUAGAUAUACCUGUAUAUGUGUGUAUAUAUAUAUCCCCAAUCUCUGAACUUUUCAUUUUUUACCUGUGGGACCAGAUAAAUUUUACAGAGCCUAGAACUACCUGUCUGUAUUAAGUCAUAAAUAUAAGGACCUUGCAGACUCAGCCCUGUUGGUGGGAAAAGCACCUCUCUAGGACCAAGUAUGCUAACGGUCUGGGCAAUGUACCACGUUGACAGCACAACUCCAGGACACAUGGACCCUACUCACAUGUUCUCAAGGAUUGAAUGCUGGAUCACUAGUCUCUCAAAAUUUGGCUCUCCCUUUAAAUUGUUACCUGGGUUUUUUGCCCCGACCUUACAGUUCAUGGAGUUGUAUCUAUCCAGUGGGUUUUUUGGAUGUGCUGUCAUUACCACAAUGUAGGGCUUUCUAAUUAUUCCGGGCUACAGCCCAGUAUUGGACUCCUGUGCAGCUAGAAGAGUAGAAGUCAGAUAAACUCGCAAAGACCUACAGCAGAAGGAGGCUGCUAAUUGCUGAGUCCAGCACCCAUGCUAAGGCCCUAAAACUAUUUUAGACCUUCAAGCCUCUUCAAGUUAUGUGCCUGAAAUCUCAGUUAUAAGAAGUUAAGGUAGUCUACCAAGUAGGGGUCUCAGAGACUUGAAUGGGAAUAACCUGGUUCAGUUUUGGUUUUCAGAGACUAAUAAAUCAGUACCUCCAAAUUGAAAGGCAAAUACAGUCCUUGGUGGAAAUCUCUCCCUAGAUUGUAUCAGCCCAUCACUCUUAGCUUAGUGUUGCAUCUGGACAGGGCCAGACUAUUUUACCUAGACUUGAACAAUUCCCACCUUACCUAAGCAGAGAAGAAACCUGUGGCUGGUCAAUUUGUGUUUGUAUUGUGACUGCAUCUGCCAUUAUAUUUAAACCUUUCUGUAAAAAUAUCCUGUUCCAUAAGCAGAGGAAACCCCUAUCAUGGCAGUCUAAGCUAGCUGAGUCCUCUGUAAGUAAAUCUCCCAUAUAUCACUUGCAGUUGUUAGUAAACUUCUAUGUGCUAGGCUGCCUAGUCCUGAUGGCUUUGAGUACUGGUAGACUUGAUGUUACUCAAACUUGGGGAUUGGUAUUACAUGCCCCUUGGCCUCAAACGGGGACAAGAAAUUGUAAAGUUGAAUAAAAAAAAAAAAACUUUGUAUCUGACCAUGGGGUCCAGGC